rnacentral:lncRNA from 1 species
CUGAGAGGCGGCAGGGUGGGAGAACGAGUGAGGAGAAGGGCAUCAACUUUCUUCAUGCCGUUUAAUUAGCUGCUUACAGAAAUUCCUGCCCCAAGGCUUCUAGGCUCUCCUCAAGUUUCUUCAAAGAAAGGGUUCUGGCUGAUUUGUGCAGAAGGAAGGGGAAACCUCGUCUGAACGUGCAGCAUUUGCCUAUCUCUUAAGGCUGGCCCCAGUGUGAACUGUGAGGGUCUUGAGUGAAGAAAGCUCUCACAAGCCCCUUGGAAUAAAAGGGUGAGGAGAGGAGGUAGUGCACCACCUGCUCUGAUUCUCAGAAGCGGAGAGACAACCUGACCAGCAAGAGUCAAAAACUGUGUGUCUGAAUCCUCUUCUUUCCAUCCCUGUGUGCAACUCAAGUCAACAUACAUUUAAUGAGCACCGUCUAUUUACAGUGCCAAGCUCAGAGUAGCUGAUAUGAAGAUAAGUAAGACAAGGCCUUGCCCUCAAAAUUCUGUCAAGUAACAGCUGGGACACCUGAAGCAACUUCAUGUGUGUGGCCUAUUUAAAUCUCCCAAGGUCGUGCACUCAGCAUGUUGUAACAUUAAAAAUGAGACGCCUUAGACAACCACCCUCUCUGCACUAGCAAAGCUUAGGAAUCCUGAGACCAAACCACCCUGAAAGGAAGGAAGGGGACGUGCUGCAUUCUUGCCUCUUUGACAAGUUCUGCUUCUUUACAAAGGACUUUGCAAGUACUUCACCCAGACCAUCUCACCUGUACCGAAAUAACCUCCCCUACUAGCGAAUGAGCAACUUUGGAGCAGAAAGCAGAAACUGCAUCAUAUUUCUCUUACUAUGCAAACUGGUAGCUCAAACCUCAUAUGACCUCAAAAAACUAUAAUUGCUUCAACCUAAAAAAGCUGAUUGUAAAAAAAAAAAAAAGCUGUGGUUGCACACACGUGUUCAAAAAACACGGUAUCCACAUAAAAUAACGUCUCAGGAUAAAUCAUUCAGAUUUAAUAAAAGUCAAGUACUACUGGGAGUUGAUUUUCCAGUUAGCUCUGACCUCCUUGAGCAAAAAGUAGAAGAUAAAAGGAAAUGAAUUAACUUAAGAGCUAAGAAAACAAACC